rnacentral:lncRNA from 1 species
ACGGGGACAAAGGAGAACGAAGCUGCCGCGGCUAAAGUUAGAGGGGACGUUAGCAGAGGGCUUUUUCGCAGGACUCGUUACCCAAACGGACAGCUCUUGCACUUCAAGAGCACCUAUUGAUGGUUGCACCGGAUGAUCUUGGAGGUCUUGUCCAACCCUAAUAGUUCUAUGAUUCUACAAUUCAACAGCCCUCAAGAGAGGAGCAAGGAAACAGGCUGCCUUUAUGAGGAAAUUUAACGUAUCCUCCAUCAAAAAGGAGCAACAUUUCUUUAAGGGAUGUGUCACUCUCAGAUGCAAAAGAGGAAACAGCUGCCUCUUUCAGACAUCGAAUAAGAACCAACCCCAUCCAGAAACAAGACCAAAUUUUUGGGCUCCAUGAAAACCAAGAUGGCUACCUUUCUUGUAGCAUUGGUAUUUUCAGUCUUUAGUCACUGUCAUCACUGCUUGCUCAAGAGGAAAGAGCUUACAUCUGCAGAAGAGGAUUCUUGCCGUACAUUCAGCACACGAGUGCGCAGCUCCUCAGCAGACCCUUACGGCUUAGGGUGAAGAACUGCUGGUGGUGCGCGUGCUGUCCGCUGCCUACGAACAUCUGCUACUUCGCAGCGCCGGCGUGCUCAAGGAUUUGACCUGUUGGAGCAGGCUGCUCGGGGCCGGCGCCCAGGCGGCUUCUGAUCUCCAAGGAAGGAGGAGACUCCGCAGCCUGCCCGGGCUGCCCCAGCCACUGCUCCGUCACCCGCCUCGGGAGAGCGCUCCCUGAUGCCGGGCCGGGCCCUCCCGUGUCCGCGGUGCUGGGCAGCGCCGAGCAGGGCCGGGCCCUGUCCCUCUGCCCCUCGCGUUUCCUCCGGAGCCCCCCGGCGCGGCCCCCGGCCCCCUCGCUUUU